AUUUUUAUUUUUUAAGAAGAAACAUAGAUCACUCCCUUUAUAAUCCUGAUGUUUUGACCCUCAUUCUGGUUUAAAUAUCUGAUUAAAAUAACUAUUUUGUACAAUAAAUGGAUAGAUGGAUACAGUUCCAGGGCAGUACAUAUCAUAUUCUAUCUUGAUCUUGAUGAAUAUCAUCAAUGCAUCGGGAUUGACAAGAGUAUAUCUAAAAUGUUAUUUAUUUGGGUUAAGUUUAAUUUAGGUGAUUUUAUAAUGAUCAUUAUCAGUGGAUGAUUUCAUGAUUUUUAAAUUCCUGAGUUUAAUUUGAGUUAAAUUUUUAUGGUUACUUUAUAGAGACAAAUUCAGACUAGGUACUUAUUUUUAAUUUGGGCCAAUUUUUGGCUUUUGGCCACUUCUUAUUCUUUUUGGGAGAAUACCAUCUACUUUGAACUUCAAUUUAUAUUCUAUACUAUAUUCUAUUGACUGCAUUUCUAUAGGUUUUAUUUCUUUGGUAAAGUAUACCCUCCACUGAUAAUUUUGCUUCUAUUUUUGUUUAUGGUUUGGUUAACUAUCAGUUUUCUACAGUAGCUUGACUCCCAUAUUUUCUUUAUUAUGGAAAUAAUAUCAUUAUUCAUCGAUUCCAUAAAAUAUUCCAUUAGUUUUAUUUCUAUAAGUCUUCUUUUACCAGUAUUAUUUUUCUAAUGGUAUUUAAUCCUUUUUUGCUUGUGGAAUUUCUUGGAUGGAAUUUCAAUUUUUAUGGAUUCAUUUCCAUGCCAUUUUUUUAGAUCAUAUGCCAUGAAUUUCUGUAAUUUUGCUUUAUUUUAUGUUUGUUCAAAUAUAAUUUAAACACAUUUAAAAAUCUUAAAAAAAGGUCUCAUUUCUCAUCAAUUCCUGGCGCAUUCGCCAUUUAUUUAAAAAAAAUUGACAUCCACAGUGACAAUUAAUUUUCCUGAUCAACAUCGACUCCAGAGCAUCAUAACUAGCCUCCCCUAAGAGGAGGAGACCCGGGUCACCCCCUAACCCUGAUGUUCGGCCAUCGAUGACCUAUGUAGCAUGCAUAGGUACCCAAGGGAGUCACCACCCUCUGGUUUACGAGCUAGGUGUUCUAACACUAGAGGCUUCGGCCGGAUACGACUUGGCACCCAAGCUCCGAGACUUCUUCGUGCACGUAUUCCGUGACCCUCGAAGAGGCAGGGGGCGGGAUAUCGGACACAUUGAAGAUGAUGAGGGGGGUCCGCCUGUAGGGGGUCCCGGUGGAUGUCCGCUCGAUGGGUGACGAGGGUGACCCGAGACGAGGCUGCUUAGCUGGGAUGGGAACUGACUGGCGAGGCUUAAUCGUCGGACAAGGGUUAAAUCUGAUGAAGGGAGGCGAACUUAUAUGCUCUGGAGGAUUUUUCUUUAUUUGUGUCGUAUUUUGACUAGACAUCUGUUAGAGGUGGUUAAGCAUAACUUUUUGUCAAUUGUCCUGUUUUUAUUUACCACAUACUUAUUUUUUUAAUGUCUUGUUUUUAAUACUUUUUGCUUCGUUUUGCUUUUGGCCUACCUCGCUUUAUUUUCCCUGCCAUGGUGUACUAGUACUAUUAUUGUCUUUCUCUUUUUUGUCUCCUGUACUUCCUUAUGGCAAUGUGAUCAUUCAUCAAUUCUAUAAGUUCUUCUAUUGAUUGUAUUGCUAUUUUUUCUUAUAUGUACACAUUUGUAUAAUUUUUUUUGCCAUUCUACUUUGGCUUUUCUAAUUUUUUCUUUUCUAUUCAUUUACACACAUAAUUGUUUAUAAUUUAUCAUGCCUCUAUUUCUUUAUUUGUCUCCCAUAUUAUUGUAUGUAUUUCUCAAUAAUCAUUCUUUUGUAUUGUGUCAUUCUGUGUUGAGACUUCUCUAAUGCAUUUUAUUUCUAUUGUCUAUAGAGUUGUAAUUUUGUAGUCAUUUUCAUGUUUUUUUUCCAGUUCUCCAUAUCAUACAUAGUAGCCCUUGUUCAUUGUAUUUUUAAAUUUAUUUUUUAAUUAUAUUAUUGUUAAGUUAAGACCCCCAAGUCUUUGAUUUUAUUGCUACUGAUGCCUACAUAGAAUUGUGUUGUUUCUGUAUUCAUUUUCCGAAUGAUUUCCUUCUCAUUCCGUUUAAAAUUGUUUUUGAAUGGGAGCUUGUACUGCUUUGGAACAAUCAUUAUUUAGCACAGCUAUACUUCAACUCAACCACACUCUUCAAGAUGCCAUUGGGUUGAUUAAAUUCAACAUUCAUCAGCAGAUUGAGAUUGAAAUUCAUCAUCGAAGAGGAGGCUAAAUAGUUUUAGAAUCAAAACUUCAAGAAUUCAAGAUCGAGAAGGGCAGCCAGAAGAUUUAUUUACCUGUACAUAGACAUCGCACAUGUCCAUC
rnacentral:lncRNA from 1 species